CUGUUAAAGCUUGCAUGCUGCUAAUGGGGCUUUACAAUACCAACAUUAUGCUACACUUUUGAGGUGUUAGAAACUUUUUCUAGAAGUGGAUAAGAUUAAACUGUCCCCAAAGCCUUAAAAGUUGCUAUGCAGAAUACAAUCUCGGCUGCUGAUGCACCACAACUCAUGUCUCAUCUUAAAAAUAACACACACACACCAGCUUGUCUUUAUACAGUAUGUCCACUGUCCAGGCAAACUUACAUGUAGUGGCCUUCUUCAGUUUUGAUUCUCAAAAACUUGAGGAUGUUGACAUACACUGUACGGACAGAACCUGCCGACAUUUGUCAAAUUAGGCACCAGAUCUUUGUGUCAUUCUUUUUUUUUUUUAUGACUGUCAGAGUCCUUUAUUGUAUUUGUUUUUUCUCUUUCUUUCAUGCUACUAUUACAUUUGCUGCUGACCAGCUCCAACUACAACAUUAAGGACGUGGUCGCUCCAGGACCGAGAUGUAGCAGUUGGACAUCUCAAACCAAUCAAGGCUGCGUGUCUCUCCAAACUGAAAUACCAACAGAUACAGUUAGCCCUCAAUUGGAAUCAAUUCUUCUAAACUACUGGAAUAUGGAUGAUAUAAUGGUAAUGAUUCAGAUAGGUUUUGGAAUAUUUUAGCAGAACCAAAUCAUUUGGUUCAUCAGAUGGAUGUUAAUUGAACUCUAUGACUUUUCUGCAAUUUAAGAAACUUAGAAGUAGAAGUUUACUUACAAUGGUGAUGAAGUCAUUGUCCGGACUUUUUCUCACGUAUUUAAUUGCAACCUGCACAUAUAUACAAAACAUUUAUAUUGUUAUUGUAAAACAUGAAAAAAGAACAAAUCAUAAUUUGUACACAGUUGCGAUCAGAAAUAAACAGAAACUUU